rnacentral:rRNA from 1 species
GGUACGCGAGCUGGGUUUAGAACGUCGUGAGACAGUUCGGUCCCUAUCUGCCGUGGGCGCUGGAGAACUGAGGGGGGCUGCUCCUAGUACGAGAGGACCGGAGUGGACGCAUCACUGGUGUUCGGGUUGUCAUGCCAAUGGCACUGCCCGGUAGCUAAAUGCGGAAGAGAUAAGUGCUGAAAGCAUCUAAGCACGAAACUUGCCCCGAGAUGAGUUCUCCCUGAGACUUAAAGUCUCCUGAAGGAACGUUGAAGACGACGACGUUGAUAGGCCGGGUGUGUAAGCGCAGCGAUGCGUUGAGCUAACCGGUACUAAUGAACCGUGAGGCUUAACCUUAC